rnacentral:rRNA from 1 species
CCAAUAGCGUAUAUUAAAGUUGUUGCAGUUAAAAAGCUCGUAGUUGAAUUUCGGGACUAAUAUGUCGGUCGUACUUUGUACGUACUAGCAUUAUUGGUUUCUCCCUUCUGACGAACCACGAUGUCAUUAAUUUGGUGUCGUGGGAAAUCAGGACUGUUACUUUGAAAAAAUUAGAGUGUUUAAAGCAAGCUCGCGCUUGA